ACCAAGGAGUCUAACAUGUGCGCGAGCCGCGGGGCAGUACGAAACCCGUAAGGCGAAAUGAAGGUGAACGCCGGCGCGGUCCGGCGGAGGUUGGAUCCCGUCCCGUCGGGGCGGGCGCACUACCGGCCGAUCUUCUCCGCCCUGUCGGCGAGGUCGAGCGAGAGCGUGCAAGUCGGGACCCGAAAGAUGGUGAACUAUGCCUGAGGAGGUUGAAGCCAGAGGAAACUCUGGUGGAGGACCGUAGCGAUUCUGACGUGCAAAUCGAUCGUCAAAUUUGGGUAUAGGGGCGAAAGACUAAUCGAACCGUCUAGUAGCUGGUUCCCUUCGAAGUUUCCCUCAGGAUAGCUGGCGCUCUGUCGCAGUUUUAUCUGGUAAAGCGAAUGAUUAGAGGUCUUGGGGGCGAAACGCCCUCAACCUAUUCUCAAACUGUAAAUUGGUAAGAAGCCCGACUCGCUCGUUUGGAGCCGGGCAUGGAAUGCGAGUGC
rnacentral:ncRNA from 1 species